rnacentral:rRNA from 1 species
GACCUCGGAUCGGGUAGGGAUACCCGCUGAACUUAAGCAUAUCAAUAAGCGGAGGAAAAGAAACCAACAGGGAUUGCCUCAGUAACGGCGAGUGAAGCGGCAACAGCUCAAAUUUGAAAUCUGGCUCUUUCAGGGUCCGAGUUGUAAUUUGUAGAAGAUGCUUCGAGUGUGGUACCGGUCUAAGUUCCUUGGAACAGGACGUCAUAGAGGGUGAGAAUCCCGUAUGUGACUGGUUACCUUCGCUCAUGUGAAGCUCUUUCGACGAGUCGAGUUGUUUGGGAAUGCAGCUCAAAAUGGGUGGUAAAUUUCAUCUAAAGCUAAAUAUUGGCCAGAGACCGAUAGCGCACAAGUAGAGUGAUCGAAAGAUGAAAAGCACUUUGGAAAGAGAGUUAAACAGUACGUGAAAUUGUUGAAAGGGAAGCGC